rnacentral:sRNA from 1 species
ACUUAACCGCAAAGUUCGCAAAGAUUUACGCAAAGUUUCGCAAAGCUUUGUGUAAUGUCCUUUGCGUAAAUCUUUGCGAACUUUGCGGUAAAAU